rnacentral:rRNA from 1 species
CAGCAGCCGCGGUAAUACGAAGGGUGCAAGCGUUAAUCGGAAUUACUGGGCGUAAAGCGCACGCAGGCGGUUUGUUAAGUCAGAUGUGAAAUCCCCGAGCUUAACUUGGGAACUGCAUUUGAAACUGGCAAGCUAGAGUCUUGUAGAGGGGGGUAGAAUUCCAGGUGUAGCGGUGAAAUGCGUAGAGAUCUGGAGGAAUACCGGUGGCGAAGGCGGCCCCCUGGACAAAGACUGACGCUCAGGUGCGAAAGCGUGGGGAGCAAACAGGAUUAGAUACCCCUGUAGUCCCUGUCUCUUAUAC